rnacentral:rRNA from 1 species
CAGCAGCCACGGUAAUACGAGGGGGGCAAGCGUUGUUCGGAAUUAUUGGGCGUAAAGGGCGCGUAGGCGGUUUGGCAAGUUUGGUGUGAAAUCUUCGGGCUCAACUCGAAGUCUGCACCGAAAACUGCCGGGCUUGAGUAUGGGAGAGGUGAGUGGAAUUUCCGGUGUAGCGGUGAAAUGCGUAGAUAUCGGAAGGAACACCUGUGGCGAAAGCGGCUCACUGGACCAUUACUGACGCUGAGGCGCGAAAGCUAGGGGAGCAAACAGGAUUAGAUACCCCAGUAGUCCCUGUCUCUUAUAA